rnacentral:tRNA from 1 species
GCGGCAGUAGCUCAGUUGGUAGAGCAUCAGCUUCCCAAGCUGAGGGUCGCGGGUUCAAGCCCCGUUUGCCGCU